CCGCACAUAUAUGUUGGGUGUCAAUGACACACCUAUAUGCUUUCUCCGAAAGCAUCUGAACUCACUCGCACAAAUGUGGAGUGCCUUCUCUACACUAACCUUAGCCUCAACACUCAUACAUUAUAUCUUAACCGUAAGAGGUCCUAUCUCAUAUACGAGAUAAUGAAAGUUAUGUUGGAGCCCACAUUUCUCGGGGCAUUGCUUACACUAUUGAGGCACCCAAUGUCAGUUUGGGCUUUCACACACUCA
rnacentral:lncRNA from 1 species